ACGCUCGACACCUACGGGAGCAGCAGGUGGGGAAUAUUGCACAAUGGGGGAAACCCUGAUGCAGCGACGCCGCGUGAGCGAAGAAGUAUUUCGGUAUGUAAAGCUCUAUCAGCAGGGAAGAAACUGACGGUACCUGACUAAGAAGCACCGGCUAAAUACGUACCAGCAGCCGCGGUAAUCUGAGCGGGCUGGCAAGGC
rnacentral:rRNA from 1 species